rnacentral:rRNA from 1 species
CCUACGGGAGGCAGCAGUGGGGAAUUUUGGACAAUGGGCGCAAGCCUGAUCCAGCAAUGCCGCGUGAGUGAAGAAGGCCUUCGGGUUGUAAAGCUCUUUUGUCAGGGAAGAAACGGUCUACUCUAAUACAGUGGGCUAAUGACGGUACCUGAAGAAUAAGCACCGGCUAACUACGUGCCAGCAGCCGCGGUAAUACGUAGGGUGCAAGCGUUAAUCGGAAUUACUGGGCGUAAAGCGUGCGCAGGCGGUUAUAUAAGUCAGAUGUGAAAUCCCCGGGCUCAACCUGGGAACUGCAUUUGAGACUGUAUGGCUAGAGUGUGUCAGAGGGGGGUAGAAUUCCACGUGUAGCAGUGAAAUGCGUAGAUAUGUGGAGGAAUACCGAUGGCGAAGGCAGCCCCCUGGGAUAACACUGACGCUCAUGCACGAAAGCGUGGGGAGCAAACAGGAUUAGAUACCCUGGUAGUCCACGCCCUAAACGAUGUCUACUAGUUGUCGGGACUUAAUUGUCUUGGUAACGCAGCUAACGCGUGAAGUAGACCGCCUGGGGAGUACGGUCGCAAGNUUAAAACUCAAAUGAAAUUGAGG